UUAAGCUAAGAAGAGCGUAGGGAGAAUGCCUUGGCAUUAGGAGCCGACGAAGGACGUGAUAAGCUGCGAUAAGCUGCGGGGAUCAGCAAGUAUGAAUUGAUCCGCAGAUUUCCGAAUGGAGCAAUCCGUAUGUGUAUGCACAUACAUCAUAUACUGAAUCAAAUAGGUAUAUGAGGGGAACCGCCUGAACUGAAACAUCUAAGUAGGGCGAGGAAGAGAAAUCAACCGAGAUUCUGUGAGUAGUGGCGAGCGAAAGCGGAAGAGGCUAAACCAUAGGUAGCAAUACUUAUGGGGUUUCGGACAGCAUUUAGUAUUGAUAAUUUCUAGUUGAAACGUGUGGGAAAACGUACCGAAGAGUGUGAGAGUCACGUAAGCGAAAGAGAAAGUCAGCGAGCUGUAUCCAAAGUACCGCGGGACACGUGAAACCCCGUGGGAAGAUGGGGGGACCAUCCUCCAAGCCUAAAUACUACCUAAUGACCGAUAGCGAAUAGUACUGUGAAGGAACGGUGAAAAGAACCCCGGGAGGGGAGUGAAAAAGAACCUGAAACCCUAUGCUUACAAGCACCGAGAGCACGUCAAAGUGUGAUCGGGUACCUUUUGUAGAAUGGUCCGGCGAGUUAUUGUAUGCGGCAAGGUUAAGUGCUUAAGGCACGGAGCCGAAGCGAGAGCAAGUCUGAAUAGGGCGAAUAAGUCGUAUGCAAUAGACCCGAAACCGAGUGACCUAUCCAUGUCCAGGCUGAAGUGGAGGUAAAACUCCAUGGAGGGCCGAACACACGUCCGUUGAAAAGGCCGGUGAUGAGGUGUGGAUAGCGGAGAAAUUCCAAUCGAACUCGGAUAUAGCUGGUUCUCUCCGAAAUAGCUUUAGGGCUAGCCUCGUGAAAGAUUACUGGAGGUAAAGCACUGAAUGGGCUAGGGGUCGAAAGAUUACUGAACCCUAUCAAACUAAGAAUGCCAGAUAAUUGAUUCACGGGAGUCAGACAAUGUGAGAUAAGUCUCAUUGUCAAAAGGGAAACAGCCCAGACCCACAGCUAAGGUCCCUAAACAUUGUUAAGUGGAAAAGGAUGUGGGGUUGCAUAAACAACCAGGAUGUUGGCUUAGAAGCAGCCACUCAUUAAAAGAGUGCGUAAUAGCUCACUGGUCGAGUGACCCUGCGCCGAAAAUUCAACGGGGCUAAACAAUGUACCGAAGCUUGGGAUUCUAAAGUAAUUUAGAGUGGUAGGAGAGCGUCGAAUAAGGGGUGAAGUCAGAGCGGAAGCGCUGGUGGACUUUAUUCGAGUGAGAAUGCCGGAAUGAGUAGCGAGAAUUAUGUGAGAAUCAUAAUGGCCGAAAAUCUAAGGUUUCCUGAGGAAGGUUCGUCCGCUCAGGGUAAGCCGGGGGCUAAGGCGAGGCGGAGACGCGUAGCCGAUGCACAUACGGUUGAAAUUCCGUAGCCACCGAAAGAUUUAAGUACAGGGACGCUUUAGAAGUGAUGUUGCCGGGCGAUGGUUGACCCGGUCGUAAGGGAUCGAAAAUGAGUAGAGAAGUCAUCAUGGAAAGAGACAAGAAAAGCUGUAUGAAUAUCUUAGGUGCCCGUACCGCAAACCGACACAGGUAGAUAGGAAGAAGAUUCUAAGGCCAACGGGAGAAGGGUUGUUAAGGAACUCGGCAAGUUGACCCCGUAACUUAGGGAUAAGGGGUGCUCAAGUGAUUGAGCCGCAGAGAAUAGGCCCAGGCGACUGUUUAGCAAAAACACAGGUCUCUGCUAAAUCGAAAGAUGACGUAUAGGGGCUGACACCUGCCCGGUGCCGGAAGGUUAAGAGGAGAUGUGAGAGCAUUGAAUUGAAGCCCCGGUAAACGGCGGCCGUAACAAUAACGGUCCUAAGGUAGCGAAAUUCCUUGUCAGGUAAGUUCUGACCCGCACGAA
rnacentral:rRNA from 1 species